rnacentral:rRNA from 1 species
ACAGAUGUGAAAUCCCCGGGCUCAACCUGGGAACUGCGUUUGUGACUGCAUAACUAGAGUACGGCAGAGGGAGGUGGAAUUCCACGUGUAGCAGUGAAAUGCGUAGAGAUGUGGAGGAACACCGAUGGCGAAGGCAGCCUCCUGGGCCAGUACUGACGCUCAUGCACGAAAGCGUGGGGAGCAAACAGGAUUAGAUACCCUGGUAGUCCACGCCCUAAACGAUGUCAACUAGUUGUUCGGUGAGGAGACUCAUUGAGUAACGCAGCUAACGCGUGAAGUUGACCGCCUGGGGAGUACGGUCGCAAGAUUAAAACUCAAAUGAAUUGACGGA